AUUGAAACACCGGUUCUCGUAUGAUCACCGAAGUUAAACAACGUCGAGCCUGCUCAGUACCUAGAUGGGUAACCGCUUGCGAAUUCUAGG